rnacentral:tRNA from 1 species
GUACCCGUAGCUCAGGUGGUAGAGCACUUGACUUUUAAUCAAGGUGUCGUGGAUUCAAGUUCCACCGGGCACACCA